AUACGUAGGUGGCAAGCGUUGUCCGGAUUUAUUGGGCGUAAAGCGAGCGCAGGCGGUUUCUUAAGUCUGAUGUGAAAGCCCCCGGCUCAACCGGGGAGGGUCAUUGGAAACUGGGAGACUUGAGUGCAGAAGAGGAGAGUGGAAUUCCAUGUGUAGCGGUGAAAUGCGUAGAUAUAUGGAGGAACACCAGUGGCGAAGGCGGCUCUCUGGUCGGUAACUGACGCUGAGGCUCGAAAGCGUGGGGAGCAAACAGGAUUAGAUACCCUGGUAGUCCACGCCGUAAACGAUGAGUGCUAAGUGUUGGAGGGUUUCCGCCCUUCAGUGCUGCAGCUAACGCAUUAAGCACUCCGCCUGGGGAGUACGACCGCAAGGUUGAAACUUAAAGGAAUUGACGGGG
rnacentral:rRNA from 1 species